AGGACGAACGCUGGCGGCGUGCUUAACACAUGCAAGUCGAACGGAAAGGCCCUUUCGGGGGUACUCGAGUGGCGAACGGGUGAGUAACACGUGGGUGAUCUGCCCUGCACUUCGGGAUAAGCUUGGGAAACUGGGUCUAAUACCGGAUAGGACUACGGACUGCAUGGUCUGCGGUGGAAAGCUUUUGCGGUGUGGGAUGGGCCCGCGGCCUAUCAGCUUGUUGGUGGGGUGAUGGCCUACCAAGGCGACGACGGGUA
rnacentral:rRNA from 1 species